rnacentral:lncRNA from 1 species
UGGUGGGUUACUUGGAUUGAACGAAAUAGGCGUAUUUUCCUAAAAAAAAUGUUAAAAUCGGAACGACGAAAAAUAGAUCCAGAAAAUAACUUAAUGCAAGAAAAGAAAAGAUAAGAGGAAAGAACACACCGAUAUUUACGUGGUUUGGCCAACGGCCUACGUCCACGGGCGAAGACGGAGCAAAUACUUUAUUAAUGUCGAAAAAGGCGGAGUACAAGAAAAUCUCUCAAAAGAUCAAAACUUAAUUAGAUCCGAAACACCACAACAAGCAACUCCAAAAGUGAGUUGGCUCCUCAAUCGGUACGGACUCCAAAGUGGCGUUAAUUAGAGUCUCCGCGGAUCCAUGCCUCACCGUACGGAACAUGAAUGGCUUGGCUUAAUUAAUUAGACUUGAGUCUAAUUAACAUUGCGGCAUCAUUAGAGCUUGCCUCUAAUUAGAACACGAACCACCAACAACUAAAUUAAUUUUUAUGGUUCUUAAUUUGGUCGCAGCUUCAUUAACUUGGCCGUAGCAUGUAUAUAUAAUACAUGUCUCCUAACUAGAGUCUAAUUCUAAUUAGAUUAGAAUUACACUCCUAAUUAUAAUCCAUAUAUGCCAAAUUAAAUCUAAAUAAUAUCUAAUCCCAAUUAGAUUAGGAUUUAUCCUCAAUUUAGAUAACUACAAAUCUAAACCAAAUAUAACAAAAAAGACACUCGCUUAGUC